rnacentral:rRNA from 1 species
AGUCGAUGGGAAACGGGUUAAUAUUCCCGUACUUCUUACAAUUGCGAUGGGGGGACGGAGAAGGCUAGGUGGGCCUGGCGACGGUUGUCCAGGUUCAAGUGCGUAGGCUGAAGAGUUAGGUAAAUCCGGCUCUUCUUAAAGCUGAGACACGACGUCGAGCUACUACGGUAGUGAAGUCAUUGAUGCCAUGCUUCCAGGAAAAGCCUCUAAGCUUCAGAUUGUAAGGAAUCGUACCCCAAACCGACACAGGU